AGACCCGAAACCCGGUGAUCUAGCCAUGGGCAGGUUGAAGGUUGGGUAACACUAACUGGAGGACCGAACCGACUAAUGUUGAAAAAUUAGCGGAUGACCUGUGGCUGGGGGUGAAAGGCCAAUCAAACCGGGAGAUAGCUGGUUCUCCCCGAAAGCUAUUUAGGUAGCGCCUCGUGAAUUCAUCUCCGGGGGUAGAGCACUGUUUCGGCUAGGGGGCCAUCCCGGCUUACCAACCCGAUGCAAACUGCGAAUACCGGAGAAUGUUAUCACGGGAGACACACGGCGGGUGCUAACGUCCGUCGUGAAGAGGGAAACAACCCAGACCGCCAGCUAAGGUCCCAAAGUCAUGGUUAAGUGGGAAACGAUGUGGGAAGGCCCAGACAGCCAGGAUGUUGGCUUAGAAGCAGCCAUCAUUUAAAGAAAGCGUAAUAGCUCACUGGUCGAGUCGGCCUGCGCGGAAGAUGUAACGGGGCUAAACCAUGCACCGAAGCUGCGGCAGCGACGCUGAUGCGUUGUUGGGUAGGGGAGCGUUCUGUAAGCCUGUGAAGGUGGCCUGUGAGGGUUGCUGGAGGUAUCAGAAGUGCGAAUGCUGACAUAAGUAACGAUAAAGCGGGUGAAAAGCCCGCUCGCCGGAAGACCAAGGGUUCCUGUCCAACGUUAAUCGGGGCAGGGUGAGUCGACCCCUAAGGCGAGGCCGAAAGGCGUAGUCGAUGGGAAACGGGUUAAUAUUCCCGUACUUGGUGUUACUGCGAAGGGGGGACGGAGAAGGCUAUGUUGGCCGGGCGACGGUUGUCCCGGUUUAAGCGUGUAGGUGUGUGUUCCAGGUAAAUCCGGUUCACUUUAACACUGAGGCGUGAUGACGAGGCACUACGGUGCUGAAGCAACAAAUGCCCUGCUUCCAGGAAAAGCCUCUAAGCAUCAGGUAACAUCAAAUCGUACCCCAAACCGACACAGGUGGUCAGGUAGAGAAUACCAAGGCGCUUGAGAGAACUCGGGUGAAGGAACUAGGCAAAAUGGUGCCGUAACUUCGGGAGAAGGCACGCUGACACGUAGGUGAAGUGAUUUACUCAUGGAGCUGAAGUCAGUCGAAGAUACCAGCUGGCUGCAACUGUUUAUUAAAAACACAGCACUGUGCAAACACGAAAGUGGACGUAUACGGUGUGACGCCUGCCCGGUGCCGGAAGGUUAAUUGAUGGGGUCAGCGCAAGCGAAGCUCCUGAUCGAAGCCCCGGUAAACGGCGGCCGUAACUAUAACGGUCCUAAGGUAGCGAAAUUCCUUGUCGGGUAAGUUCCGACCUGCACGAAUGGCGUAAUGAUGGCCAGGCUGUCUCCACCCGAGACUCAGUGAAAUUGAACUCGCUGUGAAGAUGCAGUGUACCCGCGGCAAGACGGAAAGACCCCGUGAACCUUUACUAUAGCUUGACACUGAACAUUGAGCCUUGAUGUGUAGGAUAGGUGGGAGGCUUUGAAGUGUGGACGCCAGUCUGCAUGGAGCCGACCUUGAAAUACCACCCUUUAAUGUUUGAUGUUCUAACGUGGACCCGUGAUCCGGGUUGCGGACAGUGUCUGGUGGGUAGUUUGACUGGGGCGGUCUCCUCCUAAAGAGUAACGGAGGAGCACGAAGGUUGGCUAAUCCUGGUCGGACAUCAGGAGGUUAGUGCAAUGGCAUAAGCCAGCUUGACUGCGAGCGUGACGGCGCGAGCAGGUGCGAAAGCAGGUCAUAGUGAUCCGGUGGUUCUGAAUGGAAGGGCCAUCGCUCAACGGAUAAAAGGUACUCCGGGGAUAACAGGCUGAUACCGCCCAAGAGUUCAUAUCGACGGCGGUGUUUGGCACCUCGAUGUCGGCUCAUCACAUCCUGGGGCUGAAGUAGGUCCCAAGGGUAUGGCUGUUCGCCAUUUAAAGUGGUACGCGAGCUGGGUUUAGAACGUCGUGAGACAGUUCGGUCCCUAUCUGCCGUGGGCGCUGGAGAACUGAGGGGGGCUGCUCCUAGUACGAGAGGACCGGAGUGGACGCAUCACUGGUGUUCGGGUUGUCAUGCCAAUGGCACUGCCCGGUAGCUAAAUGCGGAAGAGAUAAGUGCUGAAAGCAUCUAAGCACGAAACUUGCCCCGA
rnacentral:rRNA from 1 species